rnacentral:rRNA from 1 species
AGUGAACGCUGGCGGUAGGCCUAACACAUGCAAGUCGAACGGCAGCACAGUAAUAGCUUGCUCUUACGGGUGGCGAGUGGCGGACGGGUGAGGAAUACAUCGGAAUCUACUUUUUCGUGGGGGAUAACGUAGGGAAACUUACGCUAAUACCGCAUACGACCUACGGGUGAAAGCAGGGGAUCUUCUGACCUUGCGCGAUUGAAUGAGCCGAUGUCGGAUUAGCUAGUUGGCGGGGUAAAGGCCCACCAAGGCGACGAUCCGUAGCUGGUCUGAGAGGAUGAUCAGCCACACUGGAACUGAGACACGGUCCAGACUCCUACGGGAGGCAGCAGUGGGGAAUAUUGGAAAAUGGGCGCAAGCCUGAUCCAGCCAUACCGCGUGGGUGAAGAAGGCCUUCGGGUUGUAAAGCCCUUUUGUUGGGAAAGAAAAGCAGCAGGUUAAUACCCCGCUGUUCUGACGGUACCCAAAGAAUAAGCACCGGCUAACUUCGUG